ensembl:lncRNA
CACGGCAACUUUAGGAGGAAAUGUUCAUUAUAGGACGCGACCUCUGGGAGGGAAACGACCCAGUCCGGUGAAUAAGUACUUUUGAGCGGAUGGAAAAAUAAAGUCUACAUUGAGAUUUGGAGGGCGAGGUCGUUAUCUAGUCCCCGACCGGCAGACAGCCCGUGUCCAUCUUGGUUAAACCAAAGUCUGGAUAGAAAGACGCAAAACCGCCAAAUGUUCUGAUAAAAGUUCGUCCUGGGAAUAAAUUCACCCUUCGAGCUGAUUAAACGUCGGCCCAACCAAGGAACAGCAGCAGCACCCGCGUUCGGACAAGAGGCUCCGCAGGCAGACGGGACAGCGGAUCCACCGCACGAGCAGAGGUUUGUGAACUUGAGCUGGAGACAGAGCAGCUCGUCCGGGCGGUGGUGGGACGGUCGCUGAUGACGGAACCCCCGCUGCAGUGCCGGCGCGCGCCGCGCGGGGGCGCUGGCGGGAGCCGAGCGACCCGCACCCAGGGUUCCAACAAGGUGAGGCGCCACGAAACCCCCCGGCUGCUCGCGUGAAUGCGGGCUUCCCAAAUGAAAACACCACGGCGAAGUCCGAACAAACAGUCAAACAAAAGGCUGGUCAUUAACAAACACACAACCGUCCAGUCAUUUAAUGGUGACACACAUGAAAUAAAAUGACUAACUUAAUCGAACUUCCAUAUUUAAGCUUUGGACACGUGAGGCUUAAGAAGAAGAAGGAGAAGAAGAAGGAGAAGAAGAAGAAGAUGAAGAAGAAGAAGAAGAAGAAAAAGGAGAAGAAGGAGAAGAAGGAGGAGAAGAAGAAGAAGAUGAAGAAGAAGAAGAAGAAGAAGAAGAAAAAGGAGAAGAAGGAGAAGAAGAAGAUGAAGAAGAAGAAGGGGGAGAAGAAGAAGGAGAAGAAUAAGAAGAUGAAGAAGAAGAAGGGGGCGGAGAAGAAGAAGGAGAAGAAGAAGAAGAUGAAGACGAAGAAGAAGAAGGAGGAGGAAAACAUUCAACACAUCCAGUUGCAGAUCAUCUCAGUGUGGAAGAUGGAAGGAAUAAAUUACUUCAAAACGGAUGCUCAGUCGUUACCAAAGCCAGGAGAGCAGAUGUAAUCAAUGCUGGAGAACACAAACCCUGAAUCUCAAUUAUUCAGUCAUUAAAACAAAGAUAUUUGCUGCCACAUUAGCACAAUUAUUUUGUGUAUAUUCUCCGUCUUUCUUCUACUGCCUGUUCUUUUCCCCGCGAAUCAAGAUCGCACGAUGACACCCACACGUGUAAAAGAAUCAUAAUUAAUUAAAGGUGAAGCCAGCAAAGUCUAAAAAGUAAAAACUUUGAAUUCUCCAGAGGUAUAUUAAUAGAUUUGAUCUUGCCAGCAGACUGCAAUUAAAAAUGAAAGCAUUACGUUGGAUGAUACGCCUUCGCAAAAGCUAUUUCUGAUGGGUUUUACUUUAAGCACAAAGUAACAGGAACGUGGAUCGAUCACAGUAAAACGCAGAGUCAGUUAAAGUUGAGGGGAAGAGGGCGCAAAACCCUGACAAUCCAUAUGUACACUCCCCCUUCAUCAGGGUUUGUGUUUGUCAGUGGCAGUGACACCUGUGGGCCCAUCAGGCUGGUCCAGUCUCAUCACUGAACCUUCUCCAUACGAACAGCCUGAAAGCAGGGACGCAGCCGCCGGACAGAGCUCCACACCUCAUUAUGCAAAUGACGGGUGUGGAGGAGCCUGUUCGCCGUUCGCUGCGGGGCUGGAGACGUUCACACUGUCCCCGGAGACCUUUUGUCAUCGGCUGCGUAGCAUGAAAUCCUCAGUGACGGCCAGAUGUUACACGGCUCCUCUCCUCAGAGCUCGGCCUCAUGAGGCAUCACUGCCAUUUUUGUCCAAGCCACUGUAAUUUGUCCUGUCGUUUUGCACAUUGUUUUGUUCCUGUACGAGAUGUUAAUUGGGUUAAUUAGUCAUUCGUACGUGUCGUUAGGUUUCCGAGUCACGAGCGCGGUCUGUCACAGCAGCCGAGCGAGAGUGGCCUCGUAGUUCCCGCUUCUCGCCGACAGGGGGCGCUGUGAGAUUGUGUUUAAAAGCAGAGCACAUCACGUCCGCUCUCCACGGCUCCCCUUUGA